rnacentral:rRNA from 1 species
CUGAAGGCUGAAAUUCGCCUUCACGAAGUCGGAAUUGCUAGUAAUGGCAGGUCAGCAUACUGCCGUGAAUACGUUCCCGGGCCUUGUACACACCGCCCGUCACACCAUGAGAGUUAGGAAUACCCGAAGCCUGUGAGCCAACUUUAUAAGAGGCAGCAGUCGAAGGUAGAACUAAUGAUUGGGGUGAAGUCGUAACAAGGUACC